UGUUGAUCCAAACUCCCUUUCUGUGA
rnacentral:piRNA from 1 species